rnacentral:rRNA from 1 species
GACGAACGCUGGCGGCGUGCUUAACACAUGCAAGUCGAACGGAAAGGCCCUGCUUUUGUGGGGUGCUCGAGUGGCGAACGGGUGAGUAACACGUGAGUAACCUGCCCUUGACUUUGGGAUAACUUCAGGAAACUGGGGCUAAUACCGGAUAGGAGCUCCUGCUGCAUGGUGGGGGUUGGAAAGUUUCGGCGGUUGGGGAUGGACUCGCGGCUUAUCAGCUUGUUGGUGGGGUAGUGGCUUACCAAGGCUUUGACGGGUAGCCGGCCUGAGAGGGUGACCGGCCGCAUUGGUUGGGAGUUACGCCCGGGCCCCCUCCGGGAGGGAGGGGGGGGUAGUGGUGAAUGAGGGGUGGAGGCAUGCUGGAGCCACCCGCGCGGCGGGGAGGCGGCCUUCGGGCUGAUAGCCGCUUUCGCUUGGGAGGGAGGGUGAGGACGGUAAAUGGGAAAAAAGGCACCGGUAACUACCUG